CGAAAGCCUGAAGCAGCAACGCCGCGUGUGUGAUGAAGGCCUUCGGGUCGUAAAGCACUUUUCGUGGGAGAUGAGAAAGGACAGUAUCCCAGGAAUAAGUCUCGGCUAACUACGUGCCAGCAGCCGCGGUAAAACGUAGGAGGCAAGCGUUAUCCGGAUUCACUGGGCGUAAAGCGCGUGCAGGUGGCGCGGUAAGUUGGAUGUGAAAUCUCCCGGCUCAACUGGGAGAGGUCAUUCAAUACUACCGUGCUUGAGAGCAGAAGAGGAAGAUGGAAUUCCCGGUGUAGUGGUGAAAUGCGUAGAUAUCGGGAGGAACACCAGUGGCGAAGGCGAUCUUCUGGUCUGUUUCUGACACUCAGACGCGACAGCUAGGGUAGUAAACGGGAUUAGAGACCCCGGUAAUCCUAGCCGUAAACGAUGUGAACUUGGCGUUGGUGGGUUAAACUCCAUCAGUGCCGUAGCAAACGCGAUAAGUUCACCGCCAGGGGACUACGGCCGCAAGGUUA
rnacentral:rRNA from 1 species